rnacentral:rRNA from 1 species
GGUGGAGCGAUUUGUCUGGUUAAUUCCGAUAACGAACGAGACUCUGGCCUAUUAAAUAGACGAUAUAUUUAAAAGUAUAUCGCGCUUCUUAGAGGGACAAGCGGCGUCUAGCCGCAUGAAAUAGAGCAAUAACAGGUCUGUGAUGCCCUUAGAUGUCCGGGGCUGCACGCGCGCUACACUGAAAGAAUCAGAGUGCGUUUUGCCUAGUUCGGAAGAACCGGGUAACCCAAGUAAACUCUUUCGUGCUUGGGAUAGGGAAUUGCAAUUAUUUCCCUUAAACGAGGAAUUCCCAGUAAAUGCGGGUCAUAAGCUCGCGUUGAAUACGUCCCUGCCCUUUGUAC